rnacentral:rRNA from 1 species
UUUUAAGUAAAAUCUGCUCCAUGACUUUAAAUAGCCGCAGUAUUUCUGUGCUAAGGUAGCAUAAUCAUUUGCCUUUUAAUUAAAGGCUAGAAUGAAUGAUUUAACAUUUUAAUUUCUAUCUUAAACUUUAAUGUAAAAAUUAUAUUAAAUAUAAAAAUAUAUUUAUAACAAAAAUAGACGACAAGACCCUAUUGAACUUUACUUCAGUUUAGCUGGGGCAGCUGAAUAAUAAAUAUUUUAUUGACAAUUAGUACAAAAAUGACCCAAUAUAAUUGACUUUGUGAUCAAGUUACCAUAGGGAUAACAGCAUAAUUUACUUUUUUACUCUUAUUAAAAAGAAAGAUUAUGACCUCGAUGUUGAAUUAUUCUCCUUACUAACGCAAGAGUUAAUUGAGGGGGUCUGUUCGACCCUUAAAUUUUUACA